rnacentral:rRNA from 1 species
UACGUAGGGUGCAAGCGUUAAUCGGAAUUACUGGGCGUAAAGCGUGCGCAGGCGGUUUUGUAAGUUUGUCGUGAAAGCCCCGGGCUCAACCUGGGAAUUGCGUUUGAAACUACAAGGCUAGAGUGUGGCAGAGGGGGGUGGAAUUCCACGUGUAGCAGUGAAAUGCGUAGAGAUGUGGAGGAACACCGAUGGCGAAGGCAGCCCCCUGGGUUAACACUGACGCUCAGGCACGAAAGCGUGGGGAGCAAACAGG